CCUACGGUGGGCAGCAGUCGAGAAUCAUUCACAAUGGGGGAAACCCUGAUGGUGCGACGCCGCGUGGGGGAAUGAAGGUCUUCGGAUUGUAAACCCCGUUCAUGUGGGAGCAAAUUAAAAAGAUAGUACCACAAGAGGAAGAGACGGCUAACUCUGUGCCAGCAGCCGCGGUAAUACAGAGGUCUCAAGCGUUGUUCGGAAUCACUGGGCGUAAAGCGUGCGUAGGCGGUUUCGUAAGUCGUGUGUGAAAGGCGCGGGCUCAACCCGCGGACGGCACAUGAUACUGCGAGACUAGAGUAAUGGAGGGGGAACCGGAAUUCUCGGUGUAGCAGUGAAAUGCGUAGAUAUCGAGAGGAACACUCGUGGCGAAGGCGGGUUCCUGGACAUUAACUGACGCUGAGGCACGAAGGCCAGGGGAGCGAAAGGGAUUAGAUACCCCAGUAGUC
rnacentral:rRNA from 1 species